rnacentral:rRNA from 1 species
GAUGAACGCUGACAGAAUGCUUAACACAUGCAAGUCUACUUGAAUUUGGGUUUUUUAACUUAGAUUUGGGUGGCGGACGGGUGAGUAACGCGUAAAGAACUUGCCUCACAGCUAGGGACAACAUUUGGAAACGAAUGCUAAUACCUGAUAUUAUGAUUAUAAGGCAUCUUAGAAUUAUGAAAGCUAUAUGCGCUGUGAGAGAGCUUUGCGUCCCAUUAGCUAGUUGGAGAGGUAACGGCUCACCAAGGCGAUGAUGGGUAGCCGGCCUGAGAGGGUGAACGGCCACAAGGGGACGGAGACACGGCCCUUACACCUACGGGAGGCAGCAGUGGGGAAUAUUGGACAAUGGACCAAGAGUCUGAUCCAGCAAUUCUGUGUGCACGAUGACGUUUUUCGGAAUGUAAAGUGCUUUCAGUUGGGAAGAAAAAAAUGACGGUACCAACAGAAGAAGUGACGGCUAAAUACGUG